rnacentral:rRNA from 1 species
CCUACGGGAGGCAGCAGUGGGGAAUAUUCCGCAAUGGGCGAAAGCCUGACGGAGCGACGCCGCGUGAGGGAUGAAGGUCUUCGGAUCGUAAACCUCUGUCAGCAGGGAAGAACGGUCACUGUGCUAAUCAGCAGUGAAUUGACGGGACAUGCACCAGAAGCACCGGCUAACUCCGUGCCCGCAGCCGCGGUUAUAAGGCGGGUGCGGGGGUUAAUCGGAAUUACUGGGCGUAAAGCGCUGGUAAGGGGCAUGUCAAGGCAAGGGGGAAAUCCCCGUGCUCAACGUAGGAUAUGCCUUUGAAACUGGCAAACUGGAGUGUGGGAGGGGAUAGUGGAAUUCCAGGUGUAGGGGUGAAAUGCGUAGAUAUAUGGAGGAACGUCAGUGGCGAAGGCGACUAUCUGGCACAUAACUGACGCUGAGGAGCGAAAGCGUGGGUAGCAAACAGGAUUAGAUACCCGUGUAGUC